rnacentral:rRNA from 1 species
GAAAAAUAUGCUUCUAGCGAAGCGAAGGAACUCCAGAUUAAGUCAGUUGUACAGGCUCUUCCGGUCUAUGCCAUGAGUAUUUUUAAAUUUCCGGCUUCUCUUUGUGAAGAGUUAUCCCAGAUCAUUAGGAAUUUUUGGUGGGGUGACGAGAAGAAUAGGAAGAAAACUCAUUGGUUGGCGUGGGAUAAGAUGGCGAGAUCCAAAGAUGAAGGAGGUAUGGGCUUUCGAGAUAUGAGAAUAUUUAAUUAAGUGCUUUUGGCGAAACAGGCUUGGCGAUUAUUGGUUUUUCGAGACUCGUUAUGUGCAAAGGUGAUGAAAGAAAAAUAUUAUCCUCAUGGGCGUUUGCUGUACACUUUUUUCCCCUCAAGUGAUGUCACCUACUUGGCAAUGUAUUAUGCAUGGAAUUGA